UGGGGAAUUUUGCGCAAUGGGCGAAAGCCUGACGCAGCAACGCCGCGUGGAGGAUGAAGGUCUUUGGAUUGUAAACUCCUGUCAGCAGGGAAAAAGGCACCUGGCCACACCAGGUGAUUGAUUGUACCUGCAGAGGAAGCCCCGGCUAACUCUGUGCCAGCAGCCGCGGUAAUACAGAGGGGGCAAGCGUUAUUCGGAAUUAUUGGGCGUAAAGGGCGCGUAGGCGGCGUCUCAAGUGGAUGGUGAAAUCCCCGGGCUUAACCUGGGAACUGCCGUCCAAACUGAGAGGCUUGAGUCCGGGAGAGGUAAGUGGAAUUCCCAGUGUAGCGGUGAAAUGCGUAGAUAUUGGGAGGAACACCAGUGGCGAAGGCGGCUUACUGGACCGGAACUGACGCUGAGGCGCGAAAGCGUGGGGAGCAAACAG
rnacentral:rRNA from 1 species